AUGGGUGGAUGUUGUUUGGCAAAUGAAAUAAUCACUCCUGUUCUGCUGUCAUCGAGGAGCUCACCCACCAUGUGCCAUGCCGAGCUUUUCAGAGAGGCAGCAGCAGGUGGGUCUGCGCCUCAAAAAUGCUGGGGUUCUCAUCAAUCUUGUGAUCAUCGCUCAAAACAAAAGGCCAUGCUAGUAUUUAUCGGCGAGCUCGUACUACUGUGCUCGCAGCAGCACUAUUCCCGAUCAUGUCAGCAGGAACUGAUAGUGUGGUGCGUUCUGGCAUUGGUUCAUGCACGAGAUGCUCCCAGUCUCUCUGAUGACCAGGGAAAUCUCACCGGUGAGGCAGUGACCAACUGUGGACUAAUAAAUCAAGGGCCCACCACUCUUUUGGAGAGCUUUAGAGCUUGUCACCAUCCUUAA
rnacentral:rRNA from 1 species